rnacentral:rRNA from 1 species
UACGAAGGUGGCAAGCGUUGUUCGGAUUUACUGGGCGUACAGGGAGCGUAGGCGGUUGGGUAAGCCCUCCGUGAAAUCUCCGGGCCUAACCCGGAAAGUGCGGAGGGGACUGCUCGGCUAGAGGAUGGGAGAGGAGCGCGGAAUUCCCGGCGUAGCGGUGAAAUGCGUAGAGAUCGGGAGGAAGGCCGGUGGCGAAGGCGGCGCUCUGGAACAUUUCUGACGCUGAGGCUCGAAAGCGUGGGGAGCAAACAGG